GGCCUCGUAAAGGCCGAGGCAGUCCCUGCAGUUGGGGCUGGGGGAAUCUGGAGGAUUUUAACUGAAACUCUGAUGUAAAAGAAUUCCAACCCCUCUCACGGGUGAAAUGUUAACCCUUAAACAGCGUCAAUAAAGACAAGCUUAACGAUGCCCUUCCUAUCAAAGGGGUGACAAAACUGCCCACAAUACUCCUGGUCCAUCAUGGGUCAGAUGCCGCCCCCACCAUCUUGAGGACAUCUUCAAAAGGAGAAGACUCUAGAAGAAAGCAAUCGAAACUUGGCGUGUCCCUGUCGACACUCAUCACCCUUUGUAUUUGCAUCAUAGAAAGUAUCCAAUCAGGAUGCACCACAGCUUGGUAAGGCAACUGCUCUGCUCAAGACUGCAAGGAACUGCAGCGAGUUGCAGGCACCUUUCAGCAUAUGAUGAAAACCAGCCUCUGCAUUGCAAACAUGAGGAAAUCUGCAGAUGCUGGAAAUUCAAACAACCCACACAAAAUGCUGGUGGAACACAGCAUUUUGACAAAGGGUCUCGGCCCGAAACGUCGACAGUGCUUCUCCUUAUAGAUGCUGUCCGGCCUGCUGUGUUCCACCAGCAUUUUGUGUGUGUUCUCUGCAUUGCGAAAUCAGUCAACACAAUCAGAGACCCCUCCCACCAUAGACAAUUUCUCUUCACCCCACUUCCAUUGGGCAGAAGAUACAAAAACUUGAAAACACAGACCACCAGGCUCAAGCACAGCCUCUAUAAGACCAUUGAACAGAUUACUUGUACAAUAAAGAUGAAUUCUUGAUGUCACAAUCUACCUUGUCGUGGCCUUGCAACUUAUUGUCUACCUGCACUACACUUUCUCUGUAACUGUAAC